rnacentral:rRNA from 1 species
GUGCCAGCAGCCGCGGUAAUACGUAGGUGACAAGCGUUGUCCGGAAUUAUUGGGCGUAAAGGGAGCGCAGGCGGUUGGAAUAGUCUGAUGUGAAAGCCCACGGCUUAACCGUGGAAGGUCAUUGGAAACUGUCCAACUUGAAUGCAGAAGAGGUAAGUGGAAUUCCAUGUGUAGCGGUGAAAUGCGUAGAUAUGUGGAGGAACACCAGUGGCGAAAGCGACUUACUGGUCUGUAAUUGACGCUGAGGCUCGAAAGCGUGGGUAGCGAACAAGAUUAGAUACCCUGGUAGUCC